UCUGCUGACGAGCGGCGGACGGGUGAGUAAUUGUCGGGGAUCUGCCUGAUGGCGGGGGAUAACUACUGGAAACGGUAGCUAAUACCGCAUAAUGUCUUCGGACCAAAGCGGGGGACCUUCGGGCCUCGCGCCAUCAGAUGAACCCAUAUGGGGUUAGCUUGUAGGUGAGGUAACGGCUCACCUAGGCGACGAUCCCUAGCUGGUCUGAGAGGAUGAUCAGCACACUGGGACUGAGACACGGCCAGACUCCUACGGGAGGCAGCAGUGGGGAAUAUUGCACAAUGGGCGCAAGCCUGAUGCAGCCAUGCCGCGUGUAUGAAGAAAGGCUUCGGGUUCGUCAAGUACUUUCAGUCGGGAGGAAGGUGGUAAGGUAAUAACCUUAUCAAUUGAGUAACCCGAAGAAGAAGCACCGGGCUAACUCCGNUGCAGAAGCAGCGGUAAAUACGNGAAGGGUAGCAAAGAGGUUACAUACGGGAAUUAAUCUGGGAAUCAAAAAAGGCCGGGCAACUCGAACAAGAGGCACGAGAAUCAAGCAAAAACGGACACGCUCNCAGAAAAUUGCGAUUCGCAACAUCCCACACNCGGGGGANACUUUUAACA
rnacentral:rRNA from 1 species